rnacentral:rRNA from 1 species
CCGCCGGCGACCGGCGCACGGGUGAGUAACACGUAUGCAACCUGCCCCUGUCAGGGGGACAACCCGCCGAAAGGCGGGCUAAACCCGCGUACAUGCCACCGUGGCAUCCCGGAGGCAGGAAAGGCUUCGGCCGGACAGGGAUGGGCAUGCGGCGCAUUAGGCAGUAGGCGGGGUAACGGCCCACCUAACCGACGAUGCGUAGGGGUUCUGAGAGGAAGGUCCCCCACACUGGUACUGAGACACGGACCAGACUCCUACGGGAGGCAGCAG